rnacentral:rRNA from 1 species
GACUCCUACGGGAGGCAGCAGUGGGAAUAUUGCGCAAUGGACGAAAGUCUGACGCAGCGACGCCGCGUGUGGGAUGACGGUCUUCGGAUUGUAAACCACUGUCGGGAGGGACGAAUACGCCGCAAGGCGGGUGACGGUACCUCCAAAGGAAGCACCGGCUAACUCCGUGCCAGCAGCCGCGGUAAUACGGAGGGUGCGAGCGUUGUCCGGAAUCACUGGGCGUAAAGGGCGCGUAGGCGGCCUGAUAAGUAGGGGGUGAAAUCCUGCGGCUUAACCGCAGGGCUGCCUUCUAAACUGUCAGGCUUGAGCACAGUAGAGGCAGGUGGAAUUCCCGGUGUAGCGGUGGAAUGCGUAGAGAUCGGGAAGAACAUCAGUGGCGAAGGCGGCCUGCUGGGCUGUUGCUGACGCUGAGGCGCGACAGCGUGGGGAGCAAACAGGAUUAGAUACCCUGGUAGUCCACGCCGUAAACGAUGGGCACUAGGCGUCGGGGGGAGCGACCCUCCCGGUGCCGUCGCUAACGCAGUAAGUGCCCCGCCUGGGGAGUACGGCCGCAAGGCUGAAACUCAAAGGAAUUGACGGGGGCCCGCACAAGCGGUGGAGCAUGUGGUUUAAUUCGAAGCGACGCGAAGAACCUUACCUGAGCUUGACAUGCACGGGAAAGCCGGUGGAAACAUCGGUUCCUCUUCGGAGUCCGUGCACAGGUGCUGCAUGGCUGUCUCAGCUGGCCGAGUU